UAGGUCUCUCCAUUCUCUCUCCCCAAAACUGAAGCCCUAAUCUCUCUCUACUCUCCAUUUUUGCUAUCUUCUCUCCAAGAGCAAGAGCAUUCUUUCCCCAUUGAAGGAAGGGAGAAGCUCAAGAGCACACUAAGGAAGAGGUUCAAUAGAGGCUUGUACGGGUAGUACCUGAAGGAGAUAGAACUUUGGUUAUCUAGUGGAAGCAAGGUAAGAAAUCUUGGUAGUUUGCAUGUUUUCUUCCUCAUCUAAGUUUUUUACCCUAAUCAUUUUCUUAAAAAAAUUCAUGUGGAACUUGGGGCUCAAUUUUGAGAGGUUAUAUCACUAAGGGAUGGUGUUGAAGAGCUAAGGAACACAUCUCCAAGCUAGGGCUUCGAAAGGUAAGUGCAAAAGCAAAGUGGAACAGUGAGCACCGGAGUCUGCUUGUGGAUAUGUACAUGUGGCCUGACCUUGGGAGGUUUUUGAUGGAUCACCAUUUUGAAAAGAAAAAGCUAAAAGAAAAUAGCUAUGGCAGCGGGAAGAUUCUUGGCAGCUUAGAGAUGUGUAUUGAGGCAGGAUGGAAUCAGUGGAUUGAGUGUUCGAUUCAAGGAUGAAGUCGCUUCCCAUUCUUUUAAAAAUUAUGCUUUAUAUGUAUUUUUCGCAAUUAAUUUUGUAACUCGUUUAUUUAAAGUUAUGUUAUGUUUUUAUUUUAAAAACAAUGGG